AUGGGGUGACCGCGUACCUUUUGUAUAAUGGGUCAGCGACUUAAUGUAAGUAGCCAGGUUAACCGCAUAGGGGAGCCGUAGGGAAACCGAGUCUUAACUGGGCGACAGUUGCUUGCAUUAGACCCGAAACCGAGUGAUCUAGCCAUGGGCAGGUUGAAGGUUGAGUAACAUCAACUGGAGGACCGAACUCACUAACGUUGAAAAGUUAGGAGAUGACCUGUGGCUAGGGGUGAAAGGCCAAUCAAACUCGGAGAUAGCUGGUUCUCCCCGAAAGCUAUUUAGGUAGCGCCUCGGACGAACACUACUGGGGGUAGAGCACUGUUAAGGCUAGGGGGUCAUCCCGACUUACCAACCCUUUGCAAACUCCGAAUACCAGUAAGUGCUAUCCGGGAGACACACGGCGGGUGCUAACGUCCGUCGUGGAGAGGGAAACAACCCAGACCGCCAGCUAAGGUCCCCAAGUUAUCGCUAAGUGGGAAACGAUGUGGGAAGGCUCAGACAGCCAGGAUGUUGGCUUAGAAGCAGCCAUCAUUUAAAGAAAGCGUAAUAGCUCACUGGUCGAGUCGGCCUGCGCGGAAGAUGUAACGGGGCUAAGCGAUACACCGAAGCUGCGGCAAUGUCCUUAUGGAUAUUGGGUAGGGGAGCGUUGUGUAAGCUGUUGAAGGUGAGCUGAGAGGCUUGCUGGAGGUAUCACAAGUGCGAAUGCUGACAUGAGUAACGAUAAAGGGGGUGAAAAACCUCCUCGCCGGAAGACCAAGGGUUCCUGUCCAACGUUAAUCGGGGCAGGGUAAGUCGGCCCCUAAGGCGAGGCCGAAAGGCGUAGUCGAUGGGAAACGGGUUAAUAUUCCCGUACUGCUACUUACUGCGAUGGGGGGACGGAGAAGGCUAGGUGGGCCUGGCGAUGGUUGUCCAGGUUCAAGUGCGUAGGCUGAUUUCUUAGGCAAAUCCGGGAAAUCAAGGCCGAGACACGAUGUCGAGCCACCAAGGUGGUGAAGUCAUUGAUGCCAUGCUUCCGGGAAAAGCCUCUAAGCUUCAGGUAAGUAGGAACCGUACUCCAAACCGACACAGGUGGUCGGGUAGAGAAUACCAAGGCGCUUGAGAGAACUCGGGUGAAGGAACUAGGCAAAAUGGUACCGUAACUUCGGGAGAAGGUACGCUGCCCGCGGUGAAGUCCCUUGCGGAUGGAGCUAUGGGCAGUCGCAGAUACCAGGUGGCUGCAACUGUUUAUUAAAAACACAGCACUGUGCAAAAUCGAAAGAUGACGUAUACGGUGUGACGCCUGCCCGGUGCCGGAAGGUUAAUUGAUGUGGUUAUCGCAAGAGAAGCCAUUGAUUGAAGCCCCGGUAAACGGCGGCCGUAACUAUAACGGUCCUAAGGUAGCGAAAUUCCUUGUCGGGUAAGUUCCGACCUGCACGAAUGGCGUAAUGAUGGCCACGCUGUCUCCACCCGAGACUCAGUGAAAUUGAAAUCGCAGUGAAGAUGCUGUGUACCCGCGGCUAGACGGAAAGACCCCGUGAACCUUUACUACAGCUUGGCACUGAACAUUGAGCCUACAUGUGUAGGAUAGGUGGGAGGCUUUGAAGCGGCGACGCCAGUUGCUGUGGAGCCAUCCUUGAAAUACCACCCUUGUAUGUUUGAUGUUCUAACUUAGCCCCGUUAUCCGGGGUGAGGACAGUGCCUGGUGGGUAGUUUGACUGGGGCGGUCUCCUCCCAAAGUGUAACGGAGGAGCACGAAGGUGGGCUAAUCACGGUCGGACAUCGUGAGGUUAGUGCAAUGGCAUAAGCCCGCUUAACUGCGAGAGUGACGGCUCGAGCAGGUACGAAAGUAGGUCAUAGUGAUCCGGUGGUUCUGAAUGGAAGGGCCAUCGCUCAACGGAUAAAAGGUACUCCGGGGAUAACAGGCUGAUACCGCCCAAGAGUUCAUAUCGACGGCGGUGUUUGGCACCUCGAUGUCGGCUCAUCACAUCCUGGGGCUGAAGUCGGUCCCAAGGGUAUGGCUGUUCGCCAUUUAAAGUGGUACGCGAGCUGGGUUUAGAACGUCGUGAGACAGUUCGGUCCCUAUCUGCCGUGGGCGUUGGAUGAUUGAGGGGAGCUGCUCCUAGUACGAGAGGACCGGAGUGGACGAACCGCUGGUGUUCGGGUUGUGUCGCCAGACGCAUUGCCCGGUAGCUAAGUUCGGCACAGAUAAGCGCUGAAAGCAUCUAAGCGCGAAGCUGGCCCCGAGAUGAGUCAUCCCUAGAGC
rnacentral:rRNA from 1 species